GAUGAACGCUAGCUACAGGCUUAACACAUGCAAGUCGAGGGGUCUCAAUGGAGCUUGCUCUUGAGAGACGACCGGCGCACGGGUGAGUAACGCGUAUCCAACCUGCCCUUCAUAUUGGGAUAGCCUUCCGAAAGGGAGAUUAAUACCGAAUAACAUGAGAAGAUUGCAUGAACCUCUCAUGAAAGCUCCGGCGAUGAAGGAUGGGGAUGCGUUCCAUUAGGUAGUAGGCGGGGUAACGGCCCACCUAGCCGACGAUGGAUAGGGGUUCUGAGAGGAAGGUCCCCCGCACUGGAACUGGGACCCGGUCCAGAAUCCUACGGGAGGCAGCAGUGAGGAAUAUUGGUCAAAGGGUGCAAGCCUGAACCAGCCAUCCCGCGUGAAGGACGACUGCCCUAUGGGUUGUAAACUUCUUUUGUAUAGGGAUAAACCUACCCUCGAGAGGGUAGCUGAAGGUACUAUACGAAUAAGCACCGGCUAACUCCGUGCCAGCAGCCGCCGUAACAC
rnacentral:rRNA from 1 species